AUCCAGCUGACGAGUCCCAAAUAGGACGAAAUGCGCGCAUCCUGGAU
rfam:Trichobilharzia regenti genome assembly, scaffold: TRE_scaffold0039687